rnacentral:rRNA from 1 species
AGAGUUUGAUCCUGGCUCAGGACGAACGCUGGCGGCGUGCCUAAUACAUGCAAGUAGAACGCACAGUUUAUACCGUAGCUUGCUACACCAUAGACUGUGAGUUGCGAACGGGUGAGUAACGCGUAGGUAACCUGCCUGGUAGCGGGGGAUAACUAUUGGAAACGAUAGCUAAUACCGCAUAAUAUUAAUUAUUGCAUGAUAAUUAAUUAAAAGGUGCAAUUGCACCACUACCAGAUGGACCUGCGUUGUAUUAGCUAGUAGGUGAGGUAACGGCUCACCUAGGCGACGAUACAUAGCCGACCUGAGAGGGUGAUCGGCCACACUGGGACUGAGACACGGCCCAGACUCCUACGGGAGGCAGCAGUAGGGAAUCUUCGGCAAUGGACGAAAGUCUGACCGAGCAACGCCGCGUGAGUGAAGAAGGUUUUCGGAUCGUAAAGCUCUGUUGUAAGAGAAGAACGGGUGUGAGAGUGGAAAGUUCACACUGUGACGGUAUCUUACCAGAAAGGGACGGCUAACUACGUGCCAGCAGCCGCGGU